CCUCCAGAUGUUUUGGGACUACAACUCCCACCAUCCCUGACCAACUGGACCUGUUAGCUAGGGAUGAUGGGAGUUGUAGUCCCAAAACAUCUGGAGG